ACACGACUACAUUAGAUACCCCCGUAGUCCUAGCCGUAAACGAUACUCGCUAGGUGUCGGCCACGGUGCGACCGUUGUCGGUGCCGAAGGGAAACCGUGAAACGUGCCGCCUGGGAAGUACGGUCGCAAGGCUGGAAACUUAAAGGAAUUGGCGGGGGAGCACCACAACGGGUGGAGCCUGCGGUUUAAUUGGACUCAACGCCGGGAAGCUCACCGGAUAAGACAGCGGAAUGAUUGCCGGGCUGAAGACCCUGCAUGACCAGCUG
rnacentral:rRNA from 1 species